AUUGAACGCUGGCGGAAUGCUUUACACAUGCAAGUCGAACGGCAGCACGGGGCAACCUGGUGGCGAGUGGCGAACGGGUGAGUAGUACAUCGGAACGUGCCCAAUCGUGGGGGAUAACGUAGCGAAAGUUACGCUAAUACCGCAUACGAUCUACGGAUGAAAGCGGGGGAUCGCAAGACCUCGCGCGAAUGGAGCGGCCGAUGUCAGGUUAGGUAGUUGGUGGGGUAGAGGCUCACCAAGCCAACGAUCUGGAGCUGGUCUGAGAGGACGACCAGGCACACUGGGAGUGAGACAGGGCCCAGACUCCUACGGGGGGCAGCAGUGGGGAAUUUUGGACAAGGGGGGCAAGCCUGAUCCAGCCAUUCCGCGUGCAGGAUGAAGGCCUUCGGGUUGUAAACUGCUUUUGUACGGAACGAAACGGCUCUCUCUAAUACAGGGGGCUAAUGACGGUACCGUAAGAAUAAGCACCGGCUAACUACGUGCCAGCCGCCGCCGUAAUAC
rnacentral:rRNA from 1 species